AUUGAACGCUGGCGGCAGGCCUAACACAUGCAAGUCGAACGGUAACAGGGAUCAGCUUGCUGAUUCGCUGACGAGUGGCGGACGGGUGAGUAAUGUCUGGGAAACUGCCUGAUGGAGGGGGAUAACUACUGGAAACGGUAGCUAAUACCGCAUAACGUCGCAAGACCAAAGAGGGGGACCUUCGGGCCUCUUGCCAUCGGAUGUGCCCAGAUGGGAUUAGCUAGUAGGUGGGGUAACGGCUCACCUAGGCGACGAUCCCUAGCUGGUCUGAGAGGAUGACAGGCCACACGGAAACUGAAACACGGCCCAGACUCCUACGGGAGGCACCAGUGGGGAAUACUGCACAAGGGGCGCAAGCCUGACGGAGCAAUGCCGGGGGAAGGAAGAAGGCUUUGGGUUUGUAAAAUUCUUCGGGGGGGGAGGAAGGAAUAAAUGUAAAACCCUUGGCUCAUUGACGUUCCCCGAAAAGAAAGCCCCGGCUAACCCCGUG
rnacentral:rRNA from 1 species